rnacentral:rRNA from 1 species
ACAGCAGUCGCCGCGGGAAUACGAAGGGGGCUAGCGUUGCUCGGAAUGACUGGGCGUAAAGGGCGCGUAGGCGGUUUUGACAGUCAGAUGUGAAAUUCCUGGGCUUAACCUGGGGGCCGCAUUUGAGACGUAAGACUAGAGUGUGAGAGAGGGUUGUGGAAUUCCCAGUGUAGAGGUGAAAUUCGUAGAUAUUGGGAAGAACACCGGUGGCGAAGGCGGCAACCUGGCUCAUUACUGACGCUGAGGCGCGAAAGCGUGGGGAGCGAACAGGAUUAGAUACCCCUGUAGUCCCUGUCUCUUAUACA